GGACCAAGUACUCCAUCUGUCACCCCAUUGAUCGCCAGGGUUGAUUCGGCUGAUCUGGCUGGCUAGGCGGGUGUCCCCUUCCUCCCUCACCGCUCCAUGUGCGUCCCUCCCGAAGCUGCGCGCUCGGUCGAAGAGGACGACCUCCCAGAUAGAGGAGAUGUAGAGACUAUUCUUGCAAAAUGGACUGGGUCAUGCUAGAUGAUUUUUAACAUGUAUUUUGUGGUUCUGCUAUCUAU
rnacentral:sRNA from 1 species